UACAGAGGGGGCAAGCGUUGUUCGGAAUUACUGGGCGUAAAGGGCGCGUAGGCGGCCUUCUAAGUCGAACGUGAAAUCCCCGGGCUCAACCCGGGAACUGCGUCCGAUACUGGAAGGCUUGAAUCCGGGAGAGGGAUGCAGAAUUCCAGGUGUAGCGGUGAAAUGCGUAGAUAUCUGGAGGAACACCGGUGGCGAAGGCGGCGAUCCUGGGACCGGCAUUGACGCUGAGGCGCGAAAGCCAGGGGAGCAAAGCGGG
rnacentral:rRNA from 1 species